rnacentral:rRNA from 1 species
UACAGAGGUCUCGAGCGUUAGGCGGAAUCACUGGGCUUAAAGCGUGUGUAGGCGGAUCGUUAAGUGCCUUGUGAAAUCCCACGGCUCAACCGUGGAACUGCUUGGCAUACUGGCGGUCUUGAGCAACCUAGGGGCGAGCGGAACAAAUGGUGGAGCGGUGAAAUGCGUAGAUAUCAUUUGGAACGCCAAUGGUGAAAACAGCUCGCUGGGGGUUUGCUGACGCUGAGACGACGAAAGCCAGGGGAGCAAAGCGGG